rnacentral:rRNA from 1 species
AUUGAACGCUGGCGGCAGGCCUAACACAUGCAAGUCGAGCGGAUGACGGGAGCUUGCUCCUUGAUUCUGCGGCGGACGGGUGAGUAAUGCCUAGGAAUCUGCCUGGUAGUGGGGGACAACGUUUCGAAAGGAACGCUAAUACCGCAUACGUCCUACGGGAGAAAGCAGGGGACCUUCGGGCCUUGCGCUAUCAGAUGAGCCUAGGUCGGAUUGGCUAGUUGGUGGGGUAAUGGCUCACCAAGGCGACGAUCCGUAACUGGUCUGAGAGGAUGAUCAGUCACACUGGAACUGAGACACGGUCCAGACUCCUACGGGAGGCAGCAGUGGGGAAUAUUGGACAAUGGGCGAAAGCCUGAUCCAGCCAUGCCGCGUGUGUGAAGAAGGUCUUCGGAUUGUAAAGCACUUUAAGUUGGGAGGAAGGGCAGUAAGUUAAUACCUUGCUGUUUUGACGUUACCGACAGAAUAAGCACCGGCUAACUCUGUGCCAGCAGCCGCCGUAA